GAGAAUUCAAAACUGACUUCAAGAAAUUGACUUAGCAACUUGGAAAUUUUAGAUGAUUUAGCAGUAUUCAAACAAGAAGGCCUUCACAGAGAAGAAAAAUACUCCAACAUUUGUGAAACUUAUUAAGACAUUUCUAGGGGGCCUUUGAGUUGUGGAUACCUCUACUACAAUAUCAGAAGUGCUCAUAAGAGAAGAAAAGAGAUAAAAUCCUAAUAUUGAACUGAUGGAGGCAGAAGCAGGAGCUCCUUCAGAGGGAAUUCUGUCCUGAUCCAGAGUGCUCUGCCUCUUAGUAGCAGUGAAGCUUCUCCUAUUUGUUGCCAAGUUUGGUGAAAACAGCAUGCAUUGAAUAGGAGCACCACUCAUUUCACAGGGGCUGGAGAUCAAACAGAUUUUUCAGUCUCCAUUCCACAACUUUUGUCAUUCACUGCAGCAUCAAUUGGCGUGUGCUCCACAAGUUCAGCAGCCAUCCUGCCCAGUCUCUUAGUGCUGCAACCAAGCUUCCAAAUGGACUCAACUGCAUCACUUUCCUCUAGAUGAGAGUUCCAUCAGCUGCUUCUCUGUGGUGUCAAGAGUCCCAACAGCCCUGCUGGGGCCUCCAAGAAAUCAGUUGGAUGCCAUGAAUCCGUUGAGGCAUCCAUCCAACAAAAUGCUAUAUGUCAUGUGUACUGUGAAAUACAAAAAACCCAUGGUGCACCUUUGAAGUCAGAGUAUCAGGGGAAAUAAUUUAGGAUUUAGGGAGAAGGAUGAGCAGGGCCACAAAGUUUGACAGCUGUCCAAAUUCAUAUGAGUUUAACAUGGAGCUCUCUGCCAAAGGUAACAGCUCACAUGCUCUAACAGUGAACAGUCAGACACAUAAAUAUUAACACAUAACUGAAUUAAUUUAACCAGCCAACAGCACAGAAUAACCAAACAGGGAGACCAGAUUUCCCUUAAAAACUGGUAAACUGAAGAAACUCCAAAGACUCUUCUCUACCUAAAAAUUGCUGUAUUGUA